rnacentral:rRNA from 1 species
UACGUAGGUGGCAAGCGUUGUCCGGAAUUAUUGGGCGUAAAGCGCGCGCAGGUGGUUCCUUAAGUCUGAUGUGAAAGCCCCGGGCUCAACCUGGGAAUAGCGCUUAAGACUGGGUUGCUCGAGUGCGGGAGAGGUGAGUGGAAUUCCCAGUGUAGAGGUGAAAUUCGUAGAUAUUGGGAAGAACACCAGUGGCGAAGGCGGCUCACUGGCCCGCAACUGACGCUGAGGCGCGAAAGCGUGGGGAGCAAACAGG